rnacentral:tRNA from 1 species
GGGUAUAUAGCUCAGUGGUAGAGUGCAUGCCUAGCAUGCAGGAGGUCCUGGGUUCAAUCCCCAGUCCCUCCG